rnacentral:rRNA from 1 species
UACGUAGGGUGCAAGCGUUGUCCGGAAUUAUUGGGCGUAAAGAGCUCGUAGGCGGUUUGUUGCGUCGGCUGUGAAAUCCCGAGGCUCAACCUCGGGUCUGCAGUCGAUACGAGCAAACUAGAGUGUUGCAGGGGAGACUGGAAUUCCUGGUGUAGCGGUGAAAUGCGCAGAUAUCAGGAGGAACACCAAUUGCGAAGGCAGCUCGAUGGGACGUAACUGACGCUGAGACGCGAAAGCGUGGGGAGCAAACAGG